rnacentral:lncRNA from 1 species
CCACUGUGGAGCAAUUCUCAAAGAAGAGCCACCCCGAGAGUACUUUGGGGAUUAUUCCUGACCUGUACAUAGGCUCAUCUUUUUUAUGGGAGUUGUGAGAACUUCAUUUGCUUGCGCAUAGUACAAGCUCAUAUUAUUGCACGGCAGGCUGAUGGCUUUCCAGUGCCUGGCUCCCCACUGACCUUUUAUGAGAGGAGGAGGAACUUUCUCAGGUGAGAGGAGUCCCCAAGCCCCUCUGACUGCAUCUGCCCAUUUGGGGAUGACACCCGUGACAGAGACGUAAUCCAAGGGGAAGUCUUUCCAUGUGAGGUUGGAAGCCAUUUGGCCCCUCCUCUUGGAGCCGUGCCCAGCUUUAAGUCACAGAUGUUCCUGUCAGAGCAUCUCCCAUUCAAAGCCAUCUAGGAUCAUACUAAACAACUGGCUCACGAUCCAGCUAUGGCUGACUUCGCCCCAAGGUACCCGGGAUGUGGACUCACCAAAGACCCAGGGAUGCAUUUGGCCAAUCAGAUGUCCCCCUCCUGGGGGAGUGUGAAUUUGAACACACAGAGAUAAUCGAGUUGCCAGCAGAGCUGCGGCUGAUGUAACAAUAGCAUCCAAGAGGCAGACUAGGAAGGGUGAGGAGUCAUAAGCAAGCUGAGGAAGUACGGAGAAGAGGACGUGAAGAUGCAUGUGGAGAAGCGGAGGAGAGCGCAGCUGGGCCGUGCUAACUGAGGAGCCCGGCUAAGGCUCCUGAGGUCCAUCUCUGGGGCGCAGCCCCUUAGGAGACACUCGAGAUGCCCAGGUCUCCACGUCUCCCAGCAGCAGACCAGAUCUGAAGUGACAGAUAGACAGGCAGGCCCAGGGUGGAGAUGUGGGGGCCAAGGCGCCUUCUUUCCUGCCCCGGAGGAUAGCUUUCCAGGAGGAGAAGAGCCACAGAGCCAAGUGGUGGGAGAAAACAGCCUGCUCAAGCCUGCACCCGAGCGUGUUACCUCACAGGAGCCACUGUGGUUGGUUUGUCUGCUUGGUUGGUUUGCAGUACCUGGGAUUGAGACCCAGGCUUUCAUACUGAGUUACAUCUCUAGCCCUUUUCUUUUGUGUUGUGAGACAAGUUCUCCCUAAAUUAUUCAGCUUCCCAGGGUACACUUGAACUUUCAAUCCUCCUGCCUCAGCCUCCCAGAGUGCUGGGAUUACAGGCGUGUAGUCCAGCUUGGGUUUUGCUGGAACUACAGUCACUCACUGAACAAUGGCGUGUCUGUCAACAACAGACCAUGCAUGCAGUGUUCACUCUGUAAGAU